CGCCGCCCCCGACGUCGCGAGAAGUCCAUUGACCUUAUCAUUUAGAGGAAGGAGAAGUCGUAACAAGGUUUCCGUAGGUGAACCUGCGGAAGGAUCAUU
rnacentral:rRNA from 1 species